CUUCUGUUGUACUAUUAGCCAGUUUGACUUCCAACCCCAGCCAUGUUGUUCAUCUGGUCAAUUAUUAUGUCCUCAGUAAUAGGUGACACCUAUGAGCAGAAUAUCGAGCCAAACCAACAUGAAGUGUAUGCAGAAGUGGGUAGUAAUGUUCUUCUUUCCUGCAACUACUCCUCAGCAGACAGUCUACUAUGGGAUAAACAGUCUCCAGGAUCAGCUCCCCAAUACCUUCUGCUCAUCCUGCACUACAGUGGGAUUGAACAGCGACCUGAUUCUCUUGACUCUCGCUUCUCUGGUAAACUGAACAAAGAUAAGACCCGUGUGGAUCUGGAGAUCUCCUCUGCUGAAGUAACAGACUCUGCUCUGUACUACUGUGCUCUGAGGCCCACAGUGACAGGAAACCCAGAAACACUGUA